AUACUUACCUGGCAAGGGAGAUAUCAUGAUCACAAAGGUGAUUUUCCCAGGGCGAGGCUUAUCCAUUGCAGUCCGGAUGUGCUGACCUCUGCGAUUUCCCCAAAUGUGCAAAUCUCAACUGCAUAAUUUGAGGUAGUGGGGAACUGCAGGCGUGCUUUCCCCUU
ensembl:snRNA U1 U1 spliceosomal RNA